AAAUUUACCAAAUAUGGGGAUAUUCCAGAUCUUUAUUACCCUCCUCCUGAUGCAAUAAGUCAUUACUAUAUUACACCAAAAAUGUUGCUAUAGAUGACUCUUAUGUUGCUAUAGAUGAUUCAUCUGUUGCAACAUGUGAUACAAAUGUUGCUAUAGAUGCCCAUAUAUGUCAACCGAUCACACAUUUGUAGCAACAUAUGGCAUAUAUGUGGCAACAUAUCACCCAUGUGUAUCAAGAAUGACACAUCUGUGGCAAUAUAUCACCCAUCUGUAGCAACAUAUAACAUAUUUGUGGCAGCAUAUGACCCAAUCAUUCUUACGGAUGACUCAUUUUAUAAUUUUAGAUUGUGCAUCCAUGAUUUGUCCCAAUAGAAAAUGAAUUGCAAAUGUCAUAUCUAAUUACUAUAGGGUUGGUUGGAAUCUUAUUUCAUCCUAUUGUCGAUAGAGUUAAAAUGAAAUUGGCUUGAGCAACAACCAUCAAAAGAGACAGAGUUGUUAAUGAAUUACUUGUGUUUUAUGGUAUUGAUGAUGGUGUUGAUGCUGGACAAGACCAAGGGACUACCUCUUGUAGAAGAUGUUGUGGCUUUCUCUGUGAGAAGUGCAAGAAACAAGAUGAAGAUUCUAUCGUGUAUCUUCAAACAUUGAGUCAAGAUGUAAAUGAAUUUAAAAACAAGAGGGGGUGGGGUCAAGGGAAUUCUAUCAAAGAAUGUUCUGCAAUCAUAUACACCACAUGCCAAGAGGAGGAAAAAUCCUUUGUCAAGGCAAUACAAAAUCUGAAGAACAAGAUGUUUGGAGAAUUGUCAAUGGUCGUAAUAGAAGAAGUGAAGAAGUACAAAAAGCUGACUAUUUAGAAGUGUGUGACUAUAGCGAAAAAAACCAAAGUGUUGAGUCUAACGAGUGCAAUGAAUGUUCAUAUACAAUAUGGCAUGCAUAUUUUUACAGGACAAGAUUUCGGGAACAUGACAAGCACGAAUGUUUGAUGGGAAUACGGUUAUAUUGAUGAAAUCUUUAACCUCACGCGUCAGAGACAUGAGACAUACCCGGAGUACUAUGACCCCAAAGAUAGAAUUCUAGAUCUCAACUUAUAUACCAACUUUUCAAAGAGAUAUGGAGAACUGAGCAACGAGACAAACAACAAUAGUUGGUGGUAGAAACUUUAAAUAGUUAGUAAAUGAGUUUGAAUGGUAUAAAGAUAUGAUUAACUAUGUCAGGGGCAUUAGGCCAUUUCUUGGAGGCAUGGAUUGGAUUGGUUCAAAAUGGAUUUUGACAGUCAUGAACCUGAAUAAAACCCAUUUAAUGACUCAUGAGAUAUUCUUACACGAGGGACGCAUGAAUGUUUAUGACUGACAGUUGAUGGGUAUGGAAUAUGCCGAGUUUUUGACAUACAAAUGACCUGUCUUCGAGUUGCUGCUCAAAUUGUUGAAGCAAAGUGGAAUAAUGAAGCAUUUGUCAGAUAAGUGUCUCAACGAACCAUGGAAAUUUAAAGUUCGAUUGGAACCCAUGGUAAAAAAUGAAACUGGAGCGGCAUGCAGGUCAUAUUCGCUUGCAUUCAUUGAGUAUUUGACUAGUGGGACAGAGAUUCAACCUCCCAAAACCAUGUUGUGUGAUAAUCUAGUUGGUCGAAUUCAGUGGGUUUGGGCUUAUGGGAUAGUAUCUCGGAGCUUAAAGCCUUGAUAAUGUGUUUGUAAUUAAAGACAAUGUUUUAUUUUAUCACUUAUGUUAUUUUAUCUUAUAUUGAGAGCAAGUACAUAGUAUGUGAGGUGGAUAGUUCUCAUAUGUAACAACAUAUACCUCAAAUGGACAAAUAUUAAUACAUAAGGGUGAUAUAUUGCAACAUA